UACGAAGGGGGCUAGCGUUGUUCGGAAUUACUGGGCGUAAAGCGCACGUAGGCGGAUAUUUAAGUCAGGGGUGAAAUCCCGGGGCUCAACCCCGGAACUGCCUUUGAUACUGACGAUCUCGAGUCCGGGAGAGGUGAGUGGAACUGCGAGUGUAGAGGUGAAAUUCGUAGAUAUUCGCAAGAACACCAGUGGCGAAGGCGGCUCACUGGCCCGGUACUGACGCUGAGGUGCGAAAGCGUGGGGAGCGAACGGG
rnacentral:rRNA from 1 species